UGGGGAAUUUUGGACAAUGGGCGAAAGCCUGAUCCAGCAAUGCCGCGUGUGUGAAGAAGGCCUUCGGUUGUAAAGCACUUUUGUCCGGAAAGAAAUCCUUGGCUCUAAUACAGUCGGGGGAUGACGGUACCGGAAGAAUAAGCACCGGCUAACUACGUGCCAGCAGCCGCGGUAAUACGUAGGGUGCAAGCGUUAAUCGGAAUUACUGGGCGUAAAGCGUGCGCAGGCGGUUUUGCUAAGACCGAUGUGAAAUCCCCGGGCUCAACCUGGGGAACUGCAUUGGUGACUGGCAGGCUAGAGUAUGGCAGAGGGGGGUAGAAUUCCACGUGUAGCAGUGAAAUGCGUAGAGAUGUGGAGGAAUACCGAUGGCGAAGGCAGCCCCCUGGGCCAAGUACUGACGCUCAUGCACGAAAGCGUGGGGAGCAAAC
rnacentral:rRNA from 1 species